ACCGCUUGAAUAAUCCCAGAGGUUGUCAUUAUUAUAUAAAAUCCUAAUUUGUGUGUAUUUAAUGUGGUAAACAGGGUUUGUACAAAAAUAACACCUAAAAAACUACUGGGUAAAGCAUCACAUGCUCAUGUUUAUAGAUAAAGAAGGACGUCGCUCGAUUUGUUACGUGCGCUCUUUUGGGGGUAACUUGUCAAGGCACGGAAUCAGAGGGGUCCUACAUUAGACAAAUGAAUUGAACUGGAGAAUAGACACAAACCGAAAAGAAACCCGAUUUGAUAGGGGACAGAGGAGAAAGGGGGGAUUCAGCUAGCAACGAACCUUAAAACGAAGGAGGAUCAUAGAUAAAUAGACGGAGUUGAAUUUUUUCCCCGUCAUCUCUAACUCGUCCAAAGAGCUAUAGGUUCUUCCUGCUCCCUCUCACCACCUUUUCAGUGUCCAUCCUCGGUGCGCAACGGGUUGCUCCAAUCCCACACUGUCUCAAUGAAGGAGGCCGAUGCAAUCAAGCUCUUCAUCGGGCAGAUACCCCGAAAUCUUGAGGAGAAGGACUUGAAACCCAUCUUUGAACAGUUCGGGAAGAUCUAUGAGUUGACGGUGAUAAAGGACAAAUACACGGGGAUGCACAAAGGCUGUGCCUUCCUGACAUACUGCGAACGAGAGUCUGCACUCAAAGCCCAGAAUGCACUGCACGAGCAGAAGACGCUACCAGGGAUGAACCGGCCCAUUCAAGUGAAGCCAGCAGACAGCGAGGGCAGAGGGGAAGACAGGAAGCUGUUUGUUGGCAUGCUGGGGAAGCAGCAGUCGGAUACCGACGUGAGGAAGAUGUUUGAGGAGCUUGGGAGCAUUGAAGAGUGCACAGUGCUCCGCGGGCCUGACGGCACUAGCAAAGGCUGUGCCUUUGUGAAGUACCAGAACAACGUAGAGGCUGCGGCAGCCAUCAGCACUCUGCAUGGGAGCCGCACUCUACCGGGUGCCUCCUCCAGCCUGGUGGUGAAGUUCGCUGACUCUGAGAAAGAGCGAGGGAUAAGGCGCAUGCAGCAGGUGGCGUCCCAGCUGGGGGUCAUCAGUCCCAUGACCUUACACCUCGGGGCUUACAAUGCCUACACACAGCUGGUGCAGCAGCAGGCUCUGGUGGCCCAGUCGGCAUAUUUGUCUCCUGUAUCCACCAUCACCAUGCAGCAGUUGGCUGCCCUCAACCCAAGCAGCCUCAUGGCCACGCCCAUCGCAUCACUCACUACCUCAGGGACCAGCACUCCGCCCACCAUGGCAGCCACACCAGUGCCUGCUCUGCCUCCACCACUCAGCUACCCUCCAGUGCCAGCUCCACCCAAUGGACAGUCAGUAUCUGAAACCCUGUACACCAAUGGAGUUCAUUCUUACCAAGCUCAGAGUCCAGUUUUGGAUCCUAUUCAGCAAGCGUACGCAGGGAUGCAGCACUACACAGGUGGGACAGUAGUGAGUCCGCUUGAGUCCUUAAAAUUUCCCAGAGGAAAUUUUAGGUUUGAAAUGCCCUCUCAACAGUCCUUAAUGUUUACUUAUGCGAACACACCCACAGCAACGUACCCUGCUGCCUAUGGAAUGGUAGGGCAGCCAUUCCCACACCAACACACAAUGCUUGCACAGCAACAUCAGCAGCCUCAGCAACUGCAGCAACGAGAAGGUAAUUUCUACCUACUUGUCCUCCCUCCUAUGAAUUCUCACUUUUGACUAUUUUCAAUGUUGGUUUCCCACAAAGUUCACACUGCCUCAAUCACGACCUCAUCCUGAUAAUCUCAAGUCACGUAAGAACCCCUCAGGGAGCCUUGAUGGUCUAAACUUGCACUGUAUUCUUCUUCUCAGGGCCUGAGGGGUGUAACAUCUUCAUCUAUCACCUGCCUCAGGAGUUCACUGACUCAGAGAUGCUGCAAAUGUUCAUCCCCUUCGGCAACGUCAUCUCAGCAAAGGUCUUUGUUGACCGUGCCACCAAUCAGAGCAAGUGCUUUGGUUUUGUGAGUUUUGACAACCCGUCCAGUGCUCAGACAGCAAUUCAGGCCAUGAAUGGUUUCCAGAUUGGCAUGAAGAGACUCAAGGUGCAGCUUAAGAGGCCCAAGGAUGCCAACCGACCCUACUAAAUGAGUCAAGACUGUCCUGUCCAUACAUAUAUCGUGGAGACUACGUGGCUAUGGUUGCCUAGCAACCGCUAAAAAAACCUUCCUCUCACAGCGUUGGAAGAUAUGAGUUCUAUCAAGAAACUACUUCCAGCAUUUUGGUUUCGCCCAAACCGUAUAAGCAAAGGAGCAACAACACUUCUCGAAAAAUAAGAUCAAAUAUAUGUAUUAUCUAAAAAUCAGCAACAACAGAAUAAAACAUAUGUGGUGGGUGGUUCGGAGUACACAUACCAUUCCACAGCUGGAUUCAGUCAUUAUGUACAGUACCAGUCAAAUGUUUGGACACACCUACUCAUUCACGUUUUUUCUUUAUUCUUGCUAUUUUCUACAUUGUAGAAUAAUGUUGAAGUCAUCAAAACUAUGAAAUAACACAUGAAAUCAGGUAGUAACCAAAAAAGUGUUUUAUAUUUGGGAUUUUUCAAAGUAGCCACCCUUUAGCUUGAUGACAGCUUUGCACACUCUUGGCAUUCUCUCAACCAGCUUCAUGAGGUAGUCACCUGGAAUGCAUUUCAAUUAACAGGUGUAUCUUGUUAAAAGUUCAUUUGUGGAAUUUCUUUCCUUUUGUCAGUUGUGUUGUGACAAGGUAGGGGUGGUAUUCAGAAGAUAGCCCUAUUUGGUAAAAGACCAAGUCCAUAUUAUGGCAAGAACAGUUCAAAUAAGAAAUUAUAGUCCAUCAUUACUUUAAGACAUGAAGGUCAGUCAAUCGGGAAAAUGUCAAGAACUUUGAAAGUUUCUUCAAGUGCAGUUGCAAAAACCAUCAAGCGCUAUGAUGAAACUGGCUCAUGAGGACUGCCACAGGAAAGGAAGAUCCGGAGUUACCUCAGCUGCAUAGGAUAAGUUCAUUAGAGUCAGCUGCACCUCAGAUUGCAGCCCAAAUGAGACUGCAUGAGUCAGGCCUUCAUGAUCGGAUUGAUGGUUUGGAAUUAAUUGGACUGCAAAGUUAAGGAAAAGCAGCUAACAAGUGCUCAGCAUAUGUGGGAACUCCUUCAAGACUGUUGGAAAAGCAUUCCAGGUGAAGCUGGUUGAGAGAAUGCCAAGAAUGUGCAAAGCUGUCAUCAAGGCAAAUGGUGGCUACUUUAAAGAAUCUAAAUUCUAAAAUAUAUUUUGAUUUGAUAAACACCUUUUUUGGUUACUACAUGAUUCCAUGUGUUAUUUCUUAGUUUUGAUGUCUUCACUGUUAUUUUACAAUGUAGAAAUAGAACAAUUAAGAACAACCCUUGAAUGUGUAGGUGUGUCCAAACUUUUGACUGGUACUGUACAAACUGUACUAUCAGAUACAAGGUCUACAUGAAAAAGCAUAUAACUUAUUCUAAUGAACAGGGUUUCACUGAAUAGUGUGGUUUGUGGUCCAUAACUUAAGAGGGAAGGGCAAUGUAUGGGAUGGAGAAGUGGGAUGGUAACCUUAUUGGGGGGGGGGGGGAUGUUAAUUUUGUAUGAUUACCAUUGGUUGAAUUGGUAUGUAGAUUUAGUUUAUUAUUUUAAAUUAAAGACGAGGAGUAAUUAAGCAAGAAGAACAAUCAACUUCUUCUCACUGUACAUAUCUUUGUUUUAAAUGGAGUCAAAUAAUGAAAAAAUAUGUACGUUAUUACAACCACUACUAUUGUUAUUGGCAUAGGGGUGUGAGGGAUGGUAAUUGGGUGGAAUUUUUGUAUCUUAAUUUUUUACUUUUAAUGUAUUUGUUAUGCAAUUGAAGGGGGAGAUAUGGCUAUUUUUUAUUUUAGAAAAUAGAAUAUUCCUAUGGUCUACAGUACAAGACUAUGGAUACACGUAUUGUAGAAUUUGUAAUUACAUAAAUGUAAUUAUCAAAAUCACAAUUGUUUCAUUAUUUAUUCUCUAAAAUUGCUGUUUUAAAACAUAUGUCUUUAAGAAAAAUAAAGUACAAUUUCGAAAAUGAUGUGUGCCUGGUGUGUAACAGAGAGCUGUGGGUUUUUAUAUAUACAGUUGCGGCCAAAUAUAUAGACACCCUUGCACUUUCCUUAAAUAAGAAAUUUAAAAAAACGUUUGGUUUCCACACGUUGUUGGAUUUGAAACAUUGCAGAACCAAAUGUAUUUUUGUAAGAUUAAGUUUACAAUUUGAUUUGAGAAAAUAAAGAAAAGAUAGAUUGUAUUAAGUUAUUGUUACCCUGGAACUAGUACUUGAUUGCACAUCUUUUGGCCAAGAUACAGUAAAUGCCAACAAAUGCACCAUCCCUACAAUCAAAGAUGGGGGAGGUUUGAUAAUGCUGUUGUGUUUCGUUGUUGCCUCUGAUACUGGGGGUCUUGAACGUGUACAAGAAAUCAGCAGAUUAUCAGGUGUUUUGUAGUCCAAUGUUCAACCUAGAGUCUAAAAACCGGGUCUCCAUUGAAGGCUGUGAGUCUUCCAGCAGGACAAUGACCCCCAACACAUCACAAAGCACCCAGGAAUCGUUAAGAAGAGAUACUGGACUGUUUUGGAGUGGCCAGCUAAGAGUCCAGAUCUUAAUCACAUCCAAAACCUAUGGCGAGAUCAGAAAACAGCAGUUGGUAGAGGGCAACCCU